AUAAAUAAUCCAUAUGGGUUUUAAUCCAUAUCCACCUUUGUUGCUCUUGUUUAACGUUAGCUCCCUUUUGGCGCAUCAUCAAAACGGUUUCAGACUCAGCUUCCUCGGAAGUUUUGGCUGCUACUGGGUGCGUUGGAAGGCGAGCACAUCAUAUACCUUUAGUCUCUACAUACCUGACUGAAUUCUCCUGUUUUUUGCGCAAGCAGCUAACAGAAACAAAACAAAUUUAAAA
rnacentral:misc_RNA from 1 species